rnacentral:rRNA from 2 species
CCAAGGAGUCUAACAUGUGCGCGAGUCGUCGGGUCUUGAAUAGGCCCGCAGGCGAAAUGAAAGUGAAGGACGACCCAGUCGUCGUCUGCGUUGGGAUCCCCAGACCGCCGCGUCUGGGGCGCACCAACGGCCCGUCCCGUCCGCGUCGUCGGUGGGACGGAGCGAGAGCGUACACGUUGGGACCCGAAAGAUGGUGAACUAUGCCUGGGCAGGACGAGGCCAGAGGAAACUCUGGUGGAGGUCCGCAGCGAUUCUGACGUGCAAAUCGAUCGUCAGACCUGGGUAUAGGGGCGAAAGACUAAUCGAACCGUCUAGUAGCUGGUUCCCUCCGAAGUUUCCCUCAGGAUAGCUGGCGCUCGAGGGAGUCAGUCUCAUCCGGUAAAGCGAAUGAUUAGAGGCCUUGGGGCCGAAACGACCUCAACCUAUUCUCAAACUUUCAAUGGGUGAGAAGUCCGGUUUACAUGACUGAAGCCCGGACAAUUCUCAGGAUGCGAGUGCCCAGUGGGCCACUUUU